rnacentral:rRNA from 1 species
CAAAGAUUUAUCGGUAAAGGAUGGGGAUGCGUCCGAUUAGCUUGUUGGCGGGGUAACGGCCCACCAAGGCAUCGAUCGGUAGGGGUUCUGAGAGGAAGGUCCCCCACACUGGAACUGAGACACGGUCCAGACUCCUACGGGAGGCAGCAGUGAGGAAUAUUGGUCAAUGGCCGUAAGGCUGAACCAGCCAAGUAGCGUGAGGGAAGACUGCCCUAUGGGUUGUAAACCUCUUUUAUGCGGGGAUAAAGGUGUCCACGUGUGGAUGUUUGCAGGUACCGCAUGAAUAAGGACCGGCUAAUUCCGUGCCAGCAGCCGCGGUAAUACGGAAGGUCCGGGCGUUAUCCGGAUUUAUUGGGUUUAAAGGGAGCGUAGGCCGGUCUUUAAGCGUGCCGUGAAAUUUUGUGGCUCAACCAUGAGAGUGCGGCGCGAACUGGAGACCUUGAGUGCGCGGAAGGCAGGCGGAAUUCGUGGUGUAGCGGUGAAAUGCUUAGAUAUCACGAAGAACCCCGAUUGCGAAGGCAGCCUGCCGCAGCGUUACUGACGCUGAAGCUCGAAAGCGCGGGUAUCGAACAGGAUUAGAUACCCUGGUAGUCCGCGCGGUAAACGAUGGAUGCCCGCUGUCGGCGAUAUACAGUCG